rnacentral:rRNA from 1 species
CCUACGGGUGGCAGCAGUGGGGAAUAUUGGACAAUGGGGGAAACCCUGAUCCAGCGACGCCGCGUGUGUGAAGAAGGCCUGCGGGUUGUAAAGCACUUUUAGUGGGGAGAAAAAGCUACGGGCCAAUACCCUGUGGUCUUGAUUUAACCCAAAGAAAAAGCACCGGCUAACUCUGUGCCAGCAGCCGCGGUAAUACAGAGGGUGCAAGCGUUAAUCGGAAUUACUGGGCGUAAAGCGUGCGUAGACGGUUGUUUAAGUCGGAUGUGAAAGCCCCGGGCUCAACCUGGGAAUUGCAUUCGAGACUGAAUAGCUAGGGUGCGGAAGAGGGAAGCGGAAUUUCCGGUGUAGCAGUGAAAUGCGUAGAUAUCGGAAGGAACAUCAGUGGCGAAAGCGGCUUCCUGGUCCAGCACCGACGUUCAGGCACGAAAGCGUGGGGAGCAAACAGGAUUAGAUACCCUAGUAGUC